AGUGCAUGGAGAGAGGGCAGAGAGAGAAAGAGAGCGUAAUGAGAGAGCAGAGGGAGAGAGAAAGUAUAGUGAGAGAGCUGAGAGAGAAAGAGAGCGUAGAGAAAGAGCGGAGAGAGAGCGCUCUCGGGGGGCAGAGUUAAACAAUGCAAAAGGGAAAUGGAGUGAAGCUGCAUCGAGACUUAAGUGCAUCUACUCUGCAUCACACUGCCUUAACCUCAAGGUUAGAUGAUGUAUUCAACGCCCCCCCCCCAGCAUUCCUUGAAGGCCUU
ensembl:lncRNA